rnacentral:misc_RNA from 1 species
GCAGGCCCUUCAACAGGUCUCUGUAGCAAGAAAAUCAAAUAGAAUCAGCAAAACUAAAUAAAAGGAAUUUGCAAAUCAAUUAGGUGCAUAGUUUAUAUCAUGAGAAAUUGCUCUCCUUAAAUGUAUGCUGAAAAAUUAUAAAAUAAUCUUUUCUACAAUUCCAAAUGAUCCAAGUAAUGCAAGGAAAUAGACCAGAAAGAUAAUCACAAGAAAAAUUGUCAUUUCAAAUGCUAAGACCUAGAUAAUGGUAAUUGCAAUAAGAAUUUUUUUAAUAAAUAAUUCUUGGAAGAAAAAACAACAGUUUCAUAGAAGACAGAGAAAGAAGUCAUAAACAGUGAUUUG